rnacentral:rRNA from 1 species
UUCCGGUUGAUCCCGCCGGACCUGACUGCUAUCGGAUUGAUACUAAGCCAUGCGAGUCUUUGUAGUAAUACAAGGCAGACGGCUCAGUAACGCGUAGUCAACCUACCCUAUGGACGGGAAUAAUCUCGGGAAACUGAGGAUAAUACCCGGCGUACCACCAUUCCUGGAAUGGUUGGUGGUUAAAAUGAUUCGUCGCCGUAGGAUGGGACUGCGACCUAUCAGCUUGUUGGUGAGGUAAAGGCCCACCAAGGCGAUUACAGGUACGGGCUCUGAGAGGAGAAGCCCGGAGAUGGGUACUGAGACACGGACCCAGGCCCUAUGGGGCGCAGCAGGCGAGAAAACUUUGCAAUGUGCGAAAGCACGACAAGGUUAAUCCGAGUGAUUUCUGCUAAAGGAAUCUUUUGCCAGUUCUAAAAAUACUAGUGAAUAAGGGGUGGGCAAGUUCUGGUGUCAGCCGCCGCGGUAAAACCAGCACCUCAAGUGGUCAGGAGGAUUAUUGGGCCUAAAGCAUCCGUAGCCUGCUCUGUAAGUUUUCGGUUAAAUCUAUAUGCUCAACGUAUAGGCUGCCGAAAAUACUGCAGUGCUAGGAAGUGGGAGAGGUAGACGGUACUUGAUAGGAAGGGGUAAAAUCCUUUGAUCUAUCGAUGACCACCUGUGGCGAAGGCGGUCUACCAGAACACGUUCGACGGUGAGGGAUGAAAGCUGGGGGAGCAAACCGGAUUAGAUACCCGGGUAGUCCCAGCUGUAAACGAUGCAGACUCGAUGAUGCAUUGGCAUAUAGCCAGUGCAGUGUCGCAGGGAAGCCGUUAAGUCUGCCGCCUGGGAAGUACGUACGCAAGUAUGAAACUUAAAGGAAUUGGCGGGGGAGCACCACAAGGGGUGAAGCCUGCGGUUCAAUUGGAAUCAACGCCGGA